GAUGAACGCUGGCGGCGUGCCUAAUACAUGCAAGUCGAGCGAACGGACGAGAAGCUUGCUUCUCUGAUGUUAGCGGCGGACGGGUGAGUAACACGUGGAUAACCUACCUAUAAGACUGGGAUAACUUCGGGAAACCGGAGCUAAUACCGGAUAAUAUUUUGAACCGCAUGGUUCAAAAGUGAAAGACGGUCUUGCUGUCACUUAUAGAUGGAUCCGCGCUGCAUUAGCUAGUUGGUAAGGUAACGGCCUACCAAGGCAACGAUGCAUAGCCGACCUGAGAGGGUGAUCGGCCACACAGGAACUGAGACACGGUCCAGACUCCUACGGGAGGCAGCAGUAGGGAAUCUUCCGCAAUGGGCGAAAGCCUGACGGAGCAACGCCGCGUGAGUGAUGAAGGUCUUCGGAUCGUAAAACUCUGUUAUUAGGGAAGAACAUAUGUGUAAGUAUCUGUGCACAUCUUGACGGUACCGAAUCAGAAAGCCACGGCUAACUACGU
rnacentral:rRNA from 1 species